rnacentral:rRNA from 1 species
GACGAACGCUGGCGGCGUGCUUAACACAUGCAAGUCGAACGCUGAAGCUCAGCUUUUGUUGGGUGGAUGAGUGGCGAACGGGUGAGUAACACGUGAGUAACCUGCCCCCUUCUUUGGGAUAACGCCCGGAAACGGGUGCUAAUACUGGAUAUUCACUGGUCUUCGCAUGGGGGUUGGUGGAAAGGGUUUUUCUGGUGGGGGAUGGGCUCGCGGCCUAUCAGCUUGUUGGUGGGGUGAUGGCCUACCAAGGCUUUGACGGGUAGCCGGCCUGAGAGGGUGACCGGUCACAUUGGGACGGAGAUGCGGCCCAGACUCCUACGGGAGGCAGCAGUGGGGAAUAUGGCACAAUGGGCGCAAGCCUGAUGCGGCGCCGCCGCGUGAGGGAUGGCGGCCUUCGGGUUGUGAACCUCUUUCGCUCAUGGUCGAGCCGAAACAAUGGUUGUGGUGAGGGUAGUGGGUAAAGAAGCGCCGGCUAACUACGUG